rnacentral:lncRNA from 1 species
CAAAUGAUUGAAGAUAACUUGUGCUGUGAUAUUGUCCUACCUACUUCUGUCUUCAGAUGAAGAGUUCUGAAUAUGAUCCUCUGCUCACCAGUCUGAUGCUGACUGGUGCCCACAAGAUUCUCCAAUCUGAGAACAAGAGCCCCCUGAAGUCAAGCAUGGUGUCCUGUGUGGCCACAAAGGGGAAAAGAAUAUUUAUGAAAAGUCAGUGCCUUAAGGUUGCCUUAUUUUUGCACCAGUCUGAAUUCAAUUGUUGUGCCUCCCUCAGAGAUUUUCCAGCAAAGGCAACGUCUGUGACCCGUGGCAUGAGCAGCUCUGAUGGGAGAAUUUCUUUUGAACUGAAGCUUGGUACAUUUUAUCUUUUCAUCUACAUCCUGAGCUGCAGUAAUUUGAGGCAAAAUUGAGCACUAUCCAGAAAUAAACAAGUGUUCUUCUUAAGGUCUCUUUUGCUC